ensembl:snRNA U4 U4 spliceosomal RNA
AGUUUUGCACAGUGGCAGUAUCAUAGUCAAUGAGGUUCAUCUGAGGCAUGAUUAUUACUAAUUGAACUUUUCCUAAUACCCCACCAUGAUGAAAUACAUGAUGAAAUACACUUGACAUUGGCAAUUUUUGACAGUCUCUACAGAGA